rnacentral:rRNA from 1 species
AUUGAACGCUGGCGGCGUGCUUAACACAUGCAAGUCGUGCGGUAACAGGCGUAGCAAUACGUGCUGACGAGCGGUGAACGGGUGCGUAAUACAUGGGAAUCUGCCCUUUAGUGGGGAAUAACCCGGCGAAAGCCGGGCUAAUGCCGCAUAAGAUCUUCGGAUGAAAGCGGGGAUCGUAAGACCUCGCGCUGAUGGACGAGCCCAUGUCGGAUUAGCUAGUUGGNGAGGUAACGGCUCACCAAGGCGACGAUCCGUAGCUGGUCUGAGAGGACGGCCAGCCACACUGGGACUGAGACACGGCCCAGACUCCUACGGGAGGCAGCAGUGGGGAAUAUUGGACAAUGGGCGAAAGCCUGA